UCAGCAGCCGCGGUAAUACGUAGGUGGCAAACGUUGUCCGGAAUUAUUGGGCGUAAAGCGCGCGCAGGCGGGAUAUUAAGUCUGUUUUAAAAGUUCGGGGCUCAACCCCGUGAUGGAAUGGAAACUAAUAUUCUUGAGUGCAGGAGAGGAAAGUGGAAUUCCCAGUGUAGCGGUGAAAUGCGUAGAUAUUGGGAGGAACACCAGUGGCGAAGGCGACUUUCUGGACUGUGUCUGACGCUGAGGCGCGAAAGCCAGGGGAGUGAACGGGAUUAGAUACCCCGGUAAUCCUGGCCGUAAACGAUGGGUACUAGGUGUAGGAGGUAUCGACCCCUUCUGUGCCGGAGUUAACGCAAUAAGUACCCCGCCUGGGGAGUACGGCCGCAAGGUUGAAACUCAAAGGAAUUGACGGGGGCCCGCACAAGCGGUGGAGUAUGUGGUUUAAUUCGACGCAACGCGAAGAACCUUACCAGGACCUGACAUCGAUUGAAAUACCUAGAGAUAGGUACCUUCCCUUCGGGGAACAAGAAGACAGGUGGUGCAUGGCUGUCGUCAGCUCGUGUCGUGAGAUGUUGGGUUAAGUCCCGCAACGAGCGCAACCCUUAUCCUAUGUUGCCAGCGAGUAAAGUCGGGAACUCAUGGGAGACUGCCGCAGACAAUGCGGAGGAAGGCGGGGAUGACGUCAAGUCAUCAUGCCCCUUAUGUCCUGNGCUACACACGUACUACAAUGGGCUUAAAUAGAGGGAAGCGAAGC
rnacentral:rRNA from 1 species